GACAGAGGGGCAAGCGUUGCUCGGAAUCACUGGGCGUAAAGGGCGCGUAGGCGGGAUGGCAAGUCGGUCGUGAAAGCCCCGGGCUCAACCUGGGAACCGCGCUUGAGACUGGCAUGCUCGAGUUCGGGAGAGGAUGGUGGAAUUCCCAGUGUAGAGGUGAAAUUCGUAGAUAUUCGCAAGAACACCAGUGGCGAAGGCGGCUCACUGGCCCGGUACU
rnacentral:rRNA from 1 species